CACCUCAAAGUCAAACGGACGACUCUUACUCAGAGGCUUGCUCGGUCGCUCGCAGCUUACGGACUUCGCUUGCCCCUGUCAUCUGAAUUCGCAACACGCGGCGCCGCCACACCGACGCCACCCUGGUCGUCGUCGUCGUCGCCGUCGGUCCUCAGGAAUUACUUGCGGUAAAUGGCUUCUUUUCGAGCUUUCCUAAACAGUCCUGUUGGCCCCAAAACUGUUCAUUUUUGGGGACCUGUUGUAAACUGGGGAUUUGUGAUUGCUGUAUGCUCUCUUCCACUGUCUAUGUAUUUCUACGUGCCUUCAUAAGUCACCAAUGAAAAUAUCUGCAAGUUGUAGCUUUUCACUGGUGUUUUAUUUGUCUGGUGCUUCCAAUAGGGUUUGGUUGACAUGAAAAACUGCCAGACAUGAUAUCAGGCAACAUGACAGCAGCUAUGUGCAUAUACUCAACACUGUUUAUGAGAUUUGCAUGGAUGGUGCAGCCACGGAACUAUCUACUUCUUGCAUGCCAUGCUUCAAAUGAAACCGUCCAGCUCUGUCAACUCUACUGUUGGGCGAAGGGUCAGGGGCAUGUA